rnacentral:lncRNA from 1 species
AGACAUAUGAAUAAGCUACCCAGCUACUAGAAGGCACGGGGAGAUGAAGCUAGAAAGCCUUCAGCACUAUACAGGGGCUGUUCAUCUCAGUGUCGACCUACGUCGCAGAAAACAAUGUUAUACCGUGAGGCCGAGCUCGGUAUAAGUACAGGAAUGAACCCUACCCGAGCUCGGGAAUACCUCUUGAUUAUUUGACGGACACGCCAACAGUAACACCAGAGCUCGGUCGACACACAGAGUUUGGCGGGAAUCCCGAUGAUGACACGGGACAUAGUGAUUGUUGUACGACACGGGCACGAG